AUUGAACGCUGGCGGCAGGCCUAACACAUGCAAGUCGAGCGGAUGAAGGGAGCUUGCUCCUGGCUUCAGCGGCGGACGGGUGAGUAAUGCCUAGGAAUCUGCCUGGUCGUGGGGGAUAACGUCCGGAAACGGGCGCUAAUACCGCAUACGUCCUGAGGGAGAAAGUGGGGGAUCUUCGGACCUCACGCUAUCAGAUGAGCCUAGGUCGGAUUAGCUAGUUGGUGGGGUAAAGGCCUACCAAGGCGACGAUCCGUAACUGGUCUGAGAGGAUGAUCAGUCACACUGGAACUGAGACACGGUCCAGACUCCUACGGGAGGCAGCAGUGGGGAAUAUUGGACAAUGGGCGAAAGCCUGAUCCAGCCAUGCCGCGUGUGUGAAGAAGGUCUUCUGAUUGUAAAGCACUUUAAGUUGGGAGGAAGGUCAGUAAGUUAAUCCCUUGCUGUUUUGACGUUACCAACAGAAUAAGCACCGGCUAACUUCGUG
rnacentral:rRNA from 1 species